GGUUGUGUGAUGUAGAGGUCAGCAUCCUGGAUUUUGAUCUGGUGGGUCGCGCGAAGCGGCCGAGUCGAACGUUCCAGUAACCCGGGUUCGACUCCCGGCACGACCU
rnacentral:tRNA from 1 species